rnacentral:rRNA from 1 species
CACGGGGGGAGCAAGCGUUGUUCGGAAUCACUGGGCGUAAAGGGCGUGUAGGCGGUCAAGUAAGUGGAAUGUGAAAUCCCCCGGCUUACCCGGGGACCGGCAUCCCAUACUGCUUGGCUUGAGUACGGGAGAGGAUGUGGGAAUUCCUGGUGUAGCGGUGAAAUGCGCAGAUAUCAGGAGGAACACCAGCGGCGAAGGCGGCGCUCUGGGCCGGUACUGACACUGAGGAGCGAAAGCGUGGGUAGCAAACAGG